GAUGAACGCUAGCUACAGGCUUAACACAUGCAAGUCGAGGGGCAGCAUGAACUUAGCUUGCUAAGUUUGAUGGCGACCGGCGCACGGGUGAGUAACACGUAUCCAACCUGCCGAUGACUCGGGGAUAGCCUUUCGAAAGAAAGAUUAAUACCCGAUGGCAUAGUUCUUCCGCAUGGUAGAACUAUUAAAGAAUUUCGGUCAUCGAUGGGGAUGCGUUCCAUUAGGUUGUUGGCGGGGUAACGGCCCACCAAGCCUUCGAUGGAUAGGGGUUCUGAGAGGAAGGUCCCCCACAUUGGAACUGAGACACGGUCCAAACUCCUACGGGAGGCAGCAGUGAGGAAUAUUGGUCAAUGGACGAGAGUCUGAACCAGCCAAGUAGCGUGAAGGAUGACUGCCCUAUGGGUUGUAAACUUCUUUUAUACGGGAAUAAAGUGAGGCACGUGUGCCUUUUUGUAUGUACCGUAUGAAUAAGGAUCGGCUAACUCCGUGCCAGCAGCCGCGGUAAUACGGAGGAUCCGAGCGUUAUCCGGAUUUAUUGGGUUUAAAGGGAGCGUAGGCGGACGCUUAAGUCAGUUGUGAAAGUUUGCGGCUCAACCGUAAAAUUGCAGUUGAUACUGGGUGUCUUGAGUACAGUAGAGGCAGGCGGAAUUCGUGGUGUAGCGGUGAAAUGCUUAGAUAUCACGAAGAACUCCGAUUGCGAAGGCAGCCUGCUGGACUGUAACUGACGCUGAUGCUCGAAAGUGUGGGUAUCAAACAGGAUUAGAUACCCUGGUAGUCCACACAGUAAACGAUGAAUACUCGCUGUUUGCGAUAUACAGUAAGCGGCCAAGCGAAAGCGUUAAGUAUUCCUCCUGGGGAGUACGCCGGCAACGGUGAAACUCAAAGGAAUUGACGGGGGCCCGCACAAGCGGAGGAACAUGUGGUUUAAUUCGAUGAUACGCGAGGAACCUUACCCGGGCUUGAAUUGCAACUGAAUGAUGUGGAGACAUGUCAGCCGCAAGGCAGUUGUGAAGGUGCUGCAUGGUUGUCGUCAGCUCGUGCCGUGAGGUGUCGGCUUAAGUGCCAUAACGAGCGCAACCCUUAUCGAUAGUUACCAUCAGGUGAUGCUGGGGACUCUGUCGAGACUGCCGUCGUAAGAUGUGAGGAAGGUGGGGAUGACGUCAAAUCAGCACGGCCCUUACGUCCGGGGCUACACACGUGUUACAAUGGGGGGUACAGAAGGUAGCUACACGGUGACGUGAUGCUAAUCCCUAAAGCCUCUCUCAGUUCGGAUUGGAGUGUGCAACCCGACUCCAUUAAGCUGGAUUCGCUAGUAAUCGCGCAUCAGCCACGGCGCGGUGAAUAAAUUCCCGGGCCUUGCACA
rnacentral:rRNA from 1 species